rnacentral:rRNA from 1 species
CGUUCGUUCACCUGCGGAAGGAUCAUUC